rnacentral:lncRNA from 1 species
UGUAUCGGUAGGCUCAUAAUCAUUUUAAAGUGUGCAGGGUGAUAUAAAUCUUAAUCGACUGAAGACCAGGUGGGAACCAUUCAUUGGCAUAUGGUCUUAGUACCGAAAUUUCGUUUGAUAGAUUGCCGAGAUAUUCGGUCUUUAUGCUGCUUAUCAUCUGGGUAUCAUGGUUGUAUCUUUUACCAGAAAAUAACGGGGACACAAGUCUAGAUCUUCCAUGAUACUAUACAUACGUGUACAUAUUACAUACUGCAUACUGCAUUCGACCUCAAUAAGUGAUAAACAAUCACAUGUCCAUAUCAAAUAAGUGAUAAAAUAUCACAUUUAUCCGGGUGUCAAGUUCGUCUCUCUGCUGUACGGAAGUACUGACCUGUUCACGGACUUGCACCUGUGCCCUCAUGCAUACGAAAAUCAAGUUCCUCAUCAAUAAGUGAUUAUAUCACAAAGGGCUUGUUUUCGAAUCAAAAUAAGUGAGUAUCUCACAAUUUAUACGGUCAAACAGAUGAUAAUCGGUAUACUCACCGGUAAGAUGAACUCUCGUGCAUACCUUGAUACGGGAAUGUGUCGUGAUGUGGAUGAACACCGGUCGGUAAGUAUAAAUCAUACAUUAACGUAUCCUCUAAACAUGAUUACAUCUGAUAAGUUGA